UUGUGUGUGAUCUGUGAUCUGUGCCUCUGUGCGUCUCAUAUAAAGAAAAAAAAAAAGCUUCAAUUAUUAUUAUUUAUUGGCUUCGCCCACUAGUACUAUGGAUAGGUUCAUCAUAAAAACAAAAAUCAAAGAUUUCAAAGCUGCUACCAACUGUGUCGACCAGAAUCAAAAUGAACACUCCUAUGCAUCUACAUCAAUUUCCGACUCCAUAGGAAUAAAAGAAAUUGAAGAGUCAGAUACCAGUAGAGAGGAAGAGUCUGAACCUCAAAGAAAAAAACAAAAAGUCUACAAACAGAAAUUCAGAGAAGAGUGGAAACAAAAAUUUCCAUGGUUAAUUGUAACCCACAAUGAAAUACCAAUGUGUGAACCCUGCAAUCGAGUUAUGAAAUCCUCACUAUAUUGUGUGCGAAGACACGAAGAGUCAAAAAUGCAUAUUGAAAAUAUUAAGAAAUGUGAGAAAACUCCUAGAGUGGAGAGUUUUUUUUCCAACAAAUGAACAAACAAAAUUUCAUAAGAUGGUUAAAAGGGCAGAAUUAGGUCUAGUGGUUUUUCUUCACGAACAUAAUUUACCAUUUAUAUUGAUGGAUCAUUUACCUCAACUUUGCUCACACAUUUUUCCAGACUUCCAAAUAGUAAAAGAGCUGCGAUGUGCAAAAACAAAGGCUACCAAGCUAACAAAA